UGUGGUGUUAGUGACCCCUGGUGGGGUGCAGGGAAACUGGGAAUAUGGGUUACCCACGGGGCGGGCAAUCUGUAAGUGAAGCCCCGAUUUGUUUCCUAGCCAUUGCUUGUUGUGUAGGAACGUGCUGAGUACUGUUGCUGUAUUAUCUUGAGAUGCUUGUUUCCCCUUAGUGAAGUGAAGCUAGUGAAGUCUGUGACCAGCAGCUGUAAGCCAGGUCAGUGUACUGAAGAUGCUGUGUGGGAAACCAACAGUAGGAACCAUCUCUUCAAGACCCCACUGACACACUUCCUUUUGCAGUGAUUGGGGAGAUGCUUAGAAGAGCUUUAGCAGGGUACAGAGGCCCUGAUGCUGUGCCCAUCUUGAAGAGUAUAAUGAUGAAAAUCCUCCUUUAAACUUAUUGGGAAAUUCUUAGACCAGAAUAACCUUGGAAGAGGAAUCUCAGGCAUCAAAAGAAUAAAUGGUACAGAAGAAUCCAUAAGAUGACAUUCUGUAUCAAGAUGAUCUGAUAAGAAUACAUGACAGCUGUGAUAUUUCAGCUGCAAGGCUAAUCACAGAGUGGAAAGGAAAACUGAAAACAAAGCUCAAAACAAGUUAUAUAAAACACCAAGAGUGGUAGGCCUAAUAAACACAAUGAUUCUUAUUUUGCUAGGCUUCUGCUAUGGCUAGAAGUAGAGAUGUGGGGGAAGCAGUCCUACGUGGUAGAUAACGCAUCACUGAAAUGCUUUCUGGAAACAAAUGGCUAUAGGAAGCCACAUGAGCUCUCAACACUGUUCUUAUGUUAAGUGCCCAUGAAAGAAGGCUGUCAUAUCUGUAAGAACUUAUUUUCAAUGUGAUGGUCCACCACCACAAGCUCUGCUGAAAGUAAUACAGCUUGAUCAUCAGUAAAGUAAUGCAGUAGCUAGUAAGCUGUUACUAAAGUUUAGUCUUUAAAAUGUUAGCUGAUUACAUGUAUGUUAGUGGUUAAUUCAAAAGAUUAUUUUAAGUCUCUUCUAGAGUAUUUCUGACGAGUUUUAAUCUUCUAAUGUUUGGUAACAGAGCUCUUGGCAGCUGAGGAUAGUUCUCUGUAGUUGUGGAGGCUGAUAACUUCCCUUGGAAGCAUGUCACGGAACUGAGCAGAGUACCAGGUGCUUAAUCCUUCAUUUUGUGUGUGUGUGUGUAUGGCUUCUGAAGGAGGCUGUCCUCACAAAGGGAAAUGGUGCACUGAACUGACUGUCCAAACAAAAGUUUUCUUUUCUGUUUCACAUUUCACUUCCUGGAAAACCUGGCUGGAAGAGCAGUCUGCGCAGAGCCCCAGUUAAAUGGGAUACAACCUGGGGGAAUGCAGUGCGAGAGAACAAUCCAUCUUUCGUUCUUGUGGUCACGUUAGGGCCCUUCAGUAUCCAAGCACAUCAGUUCAUUUCCUUUGAAACUGCUGCUCUCCUGCCAGAGAACAGAUUUCCACCUACUUAAGUCUUAGUCUUAUCGAUACCGUGCAUUUGUUUUAUGGAUUUUGGGGAUGUGGAAAUUGCUGUUUACUGAGAUACACCCUAAGUGAAGCAAGUAAUGUUGGAAGUUUUGCUCCACCUAAUGAGUGUUUCACUAGGGGACACGUUUAGAAAAAUAAACUAAAUAAACACGUGGCUUUCCUCUCUUCUGUGAGAGCCAUUGCACAGUUUCAAUUUUUGCAUUCUUCACGUGAGUAUAGCUGAAAUUUUGCAGUGAAAUUUUCAUGCUUUGGGAUAUUUUAAUUCCUGUAUGUGUCUAGACUGGUACAAAGUGUUCUAUCUUUCCCUAUUUUGUCUGUUCCCUGUUCUACAACUAUUAAAGACUGCUAUCG
ensembl:lncRNA